rnacentral:rRNA from 1 species
CGUAGGGGGCAAGCGUUAUCCGGAUUUACUGGGUGUAAAGGGAGCGUAGACGGCGACGCAAGUCUGAAGUGAAAUGCCAGUGCUCAACACUGGAACUGCUUUGGAAACUGUGUAGCUAGAGUGCAGGAGAGGUAAGUGGAAUUCCUAGUGUAGCGGUGAAAUGCGUAGAUAUUAGGAGGAACACCAGUGGCGAAGGCGGCUUACUGGACUGUAACUGACGUUGAGGCUCGAAGGCGUGGGGAGCAAA